AUGGCUCAGGACGAACGCUGGCGGCGUGCCUAAUACAUGCAAGUCGAGCGGACAGAAGGGAGCUUGCUCCCGGAAGUCAGCGGCGGACGGGUGAGUAACACGUAGGUAACCUGCCCCUUAGACUGGGAUAACUCCGGGAAACCGGAGCUAAUACGGGAUAAUAAAGAGAAUCACCUGAUUCUCUUUUGAAAGACGGUUUCGGCUGUCACUAAGGGAUGGGCCUGCGGCGCAUUAGCUAGUUGGUAAGGUAACGGCUUACCAAGGCGACGAUGCGUAGCCGACCUGAGAGGGUGAUCGGCCACACUGGGACUGAGACACGGCCCAGACUCCUACGGGAGGCAGCAGUAGGGAAUCUUCCGCAAUGGACGAAAGUCUGACGGAGCAACGCCGCGUGAGUGAGGAAGGCCUUCGGGUCGUAAAGCUCUGUUGUGAGGGAAGAACAAGUACCGGCGUAACUACCGGUACCUUGACGGUACCUCACCAGAAAGCCACGGCUAACUACGUGCCAGCAG
rnacentral:rRNA from 2 species